GCCUGCCUCUCUUCUCCAAGCAGGGCUCCCAUCUCUUCAGGCCGGGCUAACAUCAUUACACACUCCUGUCAGUUGACCACAGGUAACUGAAAUGUGGGACACUGAAGACAGGAAGGAGGGUCUGCUGUAUGCAGACAUUGUGAUGUUUCUCAUAAGGCCCUCAGAGAUCUUGGGCUUUGCACUCUAUUUUUAACAAUGAGUCAUUUGCCUUGAGAUGCUGUUGGCUGUCCAAACUCAUGAUGUGGAAGAUAUCUCUCCCUGUUUUGAACAAACCAAAACAACAACAACAACAACAGCAGCAACAACAACAACAAAUCCUACAGGUAUCACAGGCAACAUCCAUGUAACUUUCACAACAUAAUUUGCUGCAAAAAUGCAGAGUGUAGUCUGUAUCCGUUCAAGUGCUGUGUGGAGCCUCUGUCAAGAUGCAUCUUUCAUGUUUCCAUAUUAAGUAAACAGUCAUUUUUAGGAGCAACAAGAACCUGCUUUGUUGAUAAUGAAAAAUGAUGCUUGACUACAUUUUAUAGAGGAAUUUUAAUCCAGCAAUAUGUCUGCUCUGGCAAGGAACCACAUCCAAAGAUCCAGGUCUGUGUGAUCUGGGUGGAACACAGACAUGACAUACACCUUUAAUCCCAAACAAUAUAGAGACUAGAAGAUUUCUUAUGUCACUUUUUAUCUGCACCACCACUUUGCCUUUAAAGAAGAUGUAUCCCAAUUUUCAAGACCAGACCUUAUGUACUGUACUGAAGAUUAUCCGUUAGUGACAGCAAACUAUACCACGUCAUAGGAAAAGACUGUUUCAAAUCUCUAAAAUGUCAGGAGCAGAGAAAGUCCUGAGUCUGUGGAGUGAAUAUCUUUUGAUAAAGGUGCAGCCAUGUUAAUGACUUCAAAUUGUUGGGCUCAGAGAGAUGGCAAAGCCUUCCAAGGGAACUGAAGGACUGGAUUCCCAAAAGGUUUGGAGUGAUGUUUUUCUGGUAACUUUACAUAAUAAGCUGCUGUAGAUUGGACUCAAUACAGAUUAAACAAUGCCAAAUGCAAUGGACCAGAGAGAUGGUUCAGUGAUUAAAAAUGUGUACUACUUUUGCCCAAGACCUGAGAUGGCUUCCCAGCACCUACAUUACAGAGUUGAUCAUUGCCUCUGACCACAGCUCCAGUAGAUCGGGCAUCCUUUUCUGUCCUCUGUGGGCAUGCAUGCUAUGUGCACAUACACAAAGACACACACAAAUACACGCAUAAAUAUUAUUAAAAAGACAAUAAACCUUUUAUAAAAUGAAGUACUUUUUGGAACUUAACUCUUUAAAACAAGUAAUGCUGUAUGAAGUGUUGCUGUUUUUGUAAUUCUUAAAGUUCAAAAAGGUGAUUGUAAGUUCACUGUUUGAAUCUCUCAUGCAAAACUGCUGUGUGAAGUGCACAAUAUAGUCCAUCUUAAGGGAUAAUCCAAAUAUGCAUUUUAUUAAAGAAAUAAUCUAU
rnacentral:lncRNA from 1 species